UACGGGGGGGGCAAGCGUUGUUCGGAAUUACUGGGCGUAAAGGGCUCGUAGGUGGCCAACUAAGUCAGACGUGAAAUCCCUCGGCUUAACCGGGGAACUGCGUCUGAUACUGGAUGGCUUGAGUUUGGGAGAGGGACGCGGAAUUCCAGGUGUAGCGGUGAAAUGCGUAGAUAUCAAGAGGAACACCUGCGGCGAAGGCGGGUUGCUGGGCCGACACUGACGCUGAGGCGCGAAAGCCAGGGGAGCGAACGGG
rnacentral:rRNA from 1 species